rnacentral:lncRNA from 1 species
AUGCAUGAGAGCUCCUGUCGCUCCACAUCCUCAGCAGCACGUGGUGUUCGGUGUUCUGGAUUUUAGACAUUCUAAUAGGACUCAUUAGUUCUAACAGAUUUGUUUGUCAAUUCCUCAAGAUUUUCUACAUCUAAAAUCAUGUCAUCUGCAAAAAGAGCCCAGCUUCCCUGCUGAGGGAAGUGAGGAUAGCGUGCAAGAAGCCCCCGUCCCUGGAGAAAAGGAGAGCGGCUGGUCAAGGACACAGAUGAGGCCAUGCUUUCUGGUGCGAAGAUCCAACGAAUAUCACGCCGUGAUUCUUCUGCCUCUCUGCAUGAAUCCCAAUCAACCAACCAAUCUCUCUCCUCCUCUCACUCACAGUAUCUUCCUACCAUUACACAGC